ensembl:misc_RNA Y_RNA Y RNA
GGUAGUCCGAGUGCAGUGGUAUUCACAACUAACUAAUCACAACCAUUUACAGAUGUAUUUGUUCCUUCUCCACUCUUACUGCUUCGCUUGACUAGCCUUUA